ACGGGGUGCAGCAGGCGCGAAAACUUGUCAAUGCACGAAAGUGUGAACGGGCUACCCCGAGUGCCGUCCGCUGAGGAUGGCUUUUCUCUGCUGUAAGAAGGCGGAGGAAUAAGGAGAGGGCAAGUCUGGUGUCAGCCACCGCGGUAAUACCAGCUCUCCGAGUGGUAGGGAUGAUUAUUGGGCCUAAAGCGUUCGUAGCCGGCCUUCCAAGUCUUUCGUUAAACCCAGCGAUUCAAUCGUUGGACUGCGGGAGAUACUGUUAGGCUAGGGGGCGGGAGAAGCCGACGGUAUUUCUGGGGUAGGGGUAAAAUCCUAUAAUCCCAGGAAGACCACCAGUGGCGUAGGCGGUCGGCUAGCACGCGCUCGACGGUGAGGGACGAAAGCUGGGGGAGCAAACCGGAUUAGAUACCCGGGUAGUCCCAGCUGUAAACGAUGCGGGCUAGGUGUUGAAGCGGCUACGAGCCGCUUCAGUGCCGCAGGGAAGCCAUUAAGCCCGCCGCCUGGGGAGUACGGCCGCAAGGCUGAAACUUAAAGGAAUUGGCGGGGGAGCAC
rnacentral:rRNA from 1 species